ACAAGGUAGAUGUUGAAGCAGAGGGGUCGGGAAAUAUAGAAAGGAAGCAGAAGCUCCCCAUAUUUUCUUCACUCCAUACUACAGAUUUUAUUUAACCAACACAAAAUGACACCUUAAUUCAUAUGAAUUCAGCAGCAAGAAGGUUAUGUGUGCGGGGGAGGCACAGAAUAACCGUGGUUCCAAGGGAUAUCAUCAUUAAUGAGCUCCCUUGCAGCUUUCUCAUCUGUAAGAUCAGCAACAAUGAUUAAUAAAAUGUCAAUUAAUUCUAUAUAUAUAUAUAUAUAUAUAAAACCUAAUUUUAGUUUACAACUCCUUAUAUAUUUCUUUUUACGUAAGAGAUCGAAAGGUUUUAAAAAAUUUAGAAAAAUGUUAGAGUUCGAAUUUCAACCUUGUUAAAAAUUAUUUUGUGAAAAAAUGGAAGAAUUGUUUGAGUUAAAUCUCAAAUUUUACAAUUUUAUAUACUUAUAGAUUAAUUUUUGAAUUUUCAAAAAAAAAAAAUAAAAGGCUAAAAUAAUCAAAAUUCUAUUUUAGAUCGAGAGGUGAAAAAAAAAAUCGAAUCGAAUUAUAUUUUUUAAAUUUUUAUAUAUAUUAUAAAAUUUUAAUUUUAUAUCAAAAUUUACUUAAUUAUAUUAAAAUUUUAUAUUAAAAUAAUAAAUAAAAAUUAAAAAAAUUAAAAAUCGAUAAAUUAAAUUAAUAAAAUUUAUUCGAUUUAGUUUGAAUUUAAAUUGAAUUUUAAAUAUUUAUAAUAUUAUAUAAUAUUUAAAAAAUUAAAUUAAAUUCAAUCCAAAUCAAACUUUAUCACCCUAACUUAGUGCAUGCAAUCAAACACUGCCAUUAACAAAACUAUAGGCCUAAAAUGAACUAAUGAAAAAGCUAGGCCAGUAUGCUUACGAGUCUUGGCAGUCCUUACAACGUUCCUUGACGCCGUUGCAGAGCCUAGAAGGAGAAUACUAAGAAUCAAGAGAACCUGGAAGAGUAAUAAAAUCUUCUUCGGAGCCAUUUUCUUGGUAGAGGAAUGAAUGAUUAACCGCAGUAUAUGUAGGCGCAAACAUCCACCCCAUCCCGAGCAAGCUUUUCUCUCAUUUUCC
rnacentral:lncRNA from 1 species